AGAAUUUUUAAGGAAUUUAGAGGUUCAGAGUAACCUUAAAAAGUAACUUAAUAACAUAACUUUGUUCUCCAAAAACUUUACUGUCUUUUCAAUUUUCUGGUUCUUCUUCAUUUCUUGUCCACCACUUUAUCAUAGCUUCUGUUUUUCACAUAUGCCCACACGACCUAAAAUGAGCUUACCAUUUUUUCUACAAUGGAGCCAUCUCAACUUUUUCUCUGCUGUUUAUUUAAUUUAUUUAAUUCAGGGUUAAAAACCAUGUAAUGGACUAAUUUUAAAACCUAACUUUCUUUUUUAGGUGCUGCACUGUCUGUAAAGAGAAGUGACAUAUUGGCUCUUGCUAUAGGUAUGAUGGACUCUUUGAUCCUCUACAAUCAAUGAUUGGUUUAUUGUGUCAUUCACGGGUGAUAAUUCUGGAUGUCACAAUGAAUGUUGGGAUAAAAUGGUUUGUUUAAAUCGAGUAAAACUUCUGUUUCAUGAAUGGUGUGUUCAUCAACUGGUAACAAUUAUAGCAACUAUAGAAGAAAGGCUUAAGUGGGGUGUGGGUUUUCCUACUAUAGGUGUUUCAAUUGUUUUACAUGCACUGAGGCAUUCUUUAGAAUCAAGUGCAUUUCAGAUAUGGCUCAAUAAAUGUUAUAUUUGAUUUAGACUGAAUCACCAUUUAAGUCUAUAAAUUACAGGGGUUGAAAUUUUUAAUGUUAGUCCUUUUGGGUCGGUCAAUAUAGUCCUUGAAAUUGUCUUGAAGAUACUAAAGUGAUUGAAAAUUUUCAAUUUCAAUGAUCAUUUUAGAAUAUGUUAAUUUUAGGGGCUAGAUUGCAUGAUGUCGUGACCAAUACUAUUAUAAGACUGAAAUAGGUUAUUCGCUCUUUCGUUUUAUGUUAUUUGAUGUGUCUAUGCUAGGUGGUGCUUACCUAAAGAUUCUUGAUGGCUACAUUAGUUCAUAUGUUGUUGCUAUCUGAUGAAUGGAAAAUUUAAAUUUGUUGGUCGAGGGUUGAGUACCUCGAUUGGUUUGAGCUAAGGGUUAAGAAGUUGGAGGUCGUCUGUUCAAAUUUUGGUAAUGUCGACAUUGUCCAUGACAGUGAUUAUAAUUAUGAUGUGUUGUUCAAUUUUAAUAUUUAAGGCUCAUUCUACGCAUGCUGAUAACUUAAUCCUGCCAAGCCCUGUAUAUUAACAUUGAUUAGUUGCUCAAUAUUACAGGUGGAUAUCUAAGCUGUAUUUCGAUGAUAUUCUAGAAAAUACAGAAGCAAAUAUAUGUCUUGUUAUCGAUGCUCGUAUUUGGAGGAUUCUAUAAAUUGAGCCAUCUUCUGCUGCUAGUUCAGGUUGAAGUUGAACUAGUGAUAAAUGAUAAAAAUAAACUAAUGUUGUGCAAAAUUAGUUCAGUGUUGCUUGUAGCUAAAAUGUUAUGCUGCCAUGC
rnacentral:lncRNA from 1 species